rnacentral:rRNA from 1 species
AUUGAACGCUGGCGGCAGGCCUAACACAUGCAAGUCGAGCGGAUGAAGGGAGCUUGCUCCUGGAUUCAGCGGCGGACGGGGGAGUAAUGCCUAGGAAUCUGCCUGGUAGUGGGGGAUAACGUCCGGAAACGGGCGCUAAUACCGCAUACGUCCUGAGGGGGAAAGUGGGGGAUCUUCGGACCUCACGCUAUCAGAUGAGCCUAGGUCGGAUUAGCUAGUUGGUGGGGUAAAGGCCUACCAAGGCGACGAUCCGUAACUGGUCUGAGAGGAUGAUCAGUCACACUGGAACUGAGACACGGUCCAGACUCCUACGGGAGGCAGCAGUGGGGAAUAUUGGACAAUGGGCGAAAGCCUGAUCCAGCCAUGCCGCGUGUGUGAAGAAGGUCUUCGGAUUGUAAAGCACUUUAAGUUGGGAGGAAGGGCAGUAAGUUAAUACCUUGCUGUUUUGACGUUACCAACAGAAUAAGCACCGGCUAACUUCGUG